GGAGAGGUGGCCGAGUGGUCGAAGGCGCACGCCUGGAACGCGUGUAUACUCUAACCGGGUAUCGUGGGUUCGAAUCCCACCCUCUCCG
rnacentral:tRNA from 1 species